rnacentral:tRNA from 1 species
GCGGGAUUAGCUCAGUUGGUAGAGCACCUGACUCUUAAUCAGGGUGAUAGAGCAACGCCCUUCUAAGGCGUGGGCCAGGGGUUCGAAUCCCUUAAAACGCACCA